AGCAUAUCAAUAAGCGGAGGAAAAGAAACUAACAAGGAUUCCCCUAGUAACGGCGAGUGAAGCGGGAAGAGCUCAAAUUUAAAAUCUGACGGUGUAUUCCGUCCGAGUUGUAGCCUAGAGAAGCAUCAUCCGCGCUGGACCAUGUACAAGUCUCUUGGAACAGAGCGUCAUAGAGGGUGAGAAUCCCGUCCUUGACAUGGACUCCCAGUGCUUUGUGUUGUGCUCUCGACGAGUCGAGUUGUUUGGGAAUGCAGCUCAAAAUGGGUGGUAAAUUCCAUCUAAAGCUAAAUAUUGGCGAGAGACCGAUAGCGAACAAGUACCGUGAGGGAAAGAUGAAAAGCACUUUGGAGAGAGAGUUAAACAGUACGUGAAAUUGUUGAAAUGGAAACGCUUGAAGUCAGUCGCGUUCUCUGGGAUUCAGCCUUGCUUCUGCUUGGUGCAUUUCCCAGUCUACGGGCCAGCAUGAAUUUCGACCAGUGGAAAAAGGUUUGGGGAAUGUGGCACCUCCGGGUGUGUUAUAGCCCCUUGCUGUAUACGCCGGUUGGGAUUGAGGAUUUCAGUGCACGCUUCGGUUGUGCUUUGAUGCUGGCGUAAUGGCUUUAAGCGACCCGU
rnacentral:rRNA from 1 species